GAUGAACGCUGGCGGCGUGCUUAACACAUGCAAGUCGAGCGGAGCAUUUAUGCUUAGCGGCGGACGGGUGAGUAACGCGUGGGUAACCUGCCUCAUACUAGGGAAUAGCCACUGGAAACGGUGAUUAAUACCCUAUGUCAUUUUACUAAGGCAUCUUAGUUUAAGAAAAGGAUUUAUUCGGUAUGAGAUGGACCCGCGUCUGAUUAGCUAGUUGGUGAGAUAACAGCUCACCAAGGCGACGAUCAGUAGCCGACCUGAGAGGGUGAUCGGCCACAUUGGGACUGAGACACGGCCCAAACUCCUACGGGAGGCAGCAGUGGGGAAUAUUGCACAAUGGGCGAAAGCCUGAUGCAGCAACGCCGCGUGAAGGAAGAAGGUUUUAGGAUCGUAAACUUCUAUCAACAGGGACGAAAAAAAUGACGGUACCUGAAUAAGAAGCCCCGGCUAACUACG
rnacentral:rRNA from 2 species